rnacentral:lncRNA from 13 species
GGAUCCAGAGGGACCCCCCGGGCUCAGGGGGACAGAGCCCGCAUUUUGGGGUCCCCUGGAAUUCGGGAGCAGCCGCCCACCACCCGCGUUCCGGGGCCGCAGCGCCGAGCCCGCGGAGGAUUUUUCCAGCGGAUCCAUCCGGCGCGGCGGGGGGGCCGCUGCCUUUCUGCAGUCUCCUUGGAGACUGCGUCCGCUCCACGAGGAAAUCCCGCUGCUCCUGCUGCUCCCCCGUGCCCCCGCGGCCCCGGCUCGUGGCAGCUCCCGGCCCCUCGGAGCCGACGCCAGGGAACAGCGGGAAGAGGCCGAUCUGAGAAGUUAUCCACGAUUCCGUGUGGCCAAAACAAGGCGGCAUCCAGGGAGGCAGGAAUUUCCAAAUUCCCGUUCCCACAGCAACGCGGGGUCACCUCGGGAGCCGUUGCCCACCGGCCCUUGGUGCUCUGGGACAGAAAGCAGCCUGGGAAAGGGGGUUUAGAGCAAUCCUGGCUCGACCCCCUUUGUGUGCACGGGCAGGAGCCUUCCCAGGAGCCUUCCCAGGAGCCUUCCCGGCAUCUCCAGGGGCGCCAGAGGAGGAGGAGGAGGAGGGGGAGGGAACAAGGAACAGGCGCUCCGAGGGUCUCAGGAGCCCCGCAAUCCCACAGCUCCGAGCCCAUCAGCCAUGAAGGGAAUGGAGUAACGGAGGGAAAGCAGCAGCACGGAGAUAAAUCCCUGCCUGAGGAGCCCCUGUGUGGACUAGGAUCACCGGGACACAGCGGGAAGUGCCCAGCUCCUGCACCCACAGGACCAUCCCGGAAAGGGACACUGGGAUCAGAGCCACAUCCCAGCUCCCGGAGCAGCUCUGGAGCUCUGAGCGAGAUGGAGACUCUGACACAAGGAUCAAUUCCUCAUCCUGCUUUCUGGAACAGCUCCAGAGCUGCGAGCAGAGUCAAGGACGCUCUGUGUGUGACACAGGGGCUGAUCCCCCAUCCCGGUUUCCGGCACGGAACAGGAGCUCUGAGCAGGGUCAGGGGCGCUCAGCAUGUGCCCCACGGAUCGGAGCCACAUCCCGGUUUCCAGCACAGCUCCGGAGCUCUGAGCGGGGUCAAGGGCGCUCCUCGUGCCCAAUCCCAGCUCAUCCUGGCGCUUUCAUGUCCCUGCUGCGCGCUCGGAUCCGGCUCCAGCGGCGCCGGCCUGAGAGAGCCUCAAACACACAGAGCAGGGACCAAACUGUGCGGGAACAAUGCGGCCUUUUCCAGACCUUCCCAAACAUUCCAGCGCCCGCCAAGAACCCAUCGGACCCUGACACUGCCGGUCACGAGUCGGUCCCGGUGUCCCCUGGAGCCGGAGGACACAGCAGCUGCUCCUCUGGGAUACGCGGAGCGCUCCCAGCCCCACGGCCGAGGGGAAGGAAAACCCACGGAUUCACAGCCUUGGAAUCAUCUCCAGCAGCUCUGCAGCCCCCUGUGCCUGCCCCAGGGAUGGGGGCACGAGGGGCGAGGCCACAGGGACGGCACAUCCCUAGGGAACACCCCACAUCCCUAA